rnacentral:snRNA from 1 species
GUGCUUGCUUUGGCAACAUACAUACUAAAAUUGGAACGCAGAGAAGAUCAGCAUAAAUCCGGCACAAAGAUGACAUGCAAAUUUGUGAAGCAUUUAAUAUUUUU